rfam:Drosophila virilis strain TSC#15010-1051.87 Ctg01_10557, whole genome shotgun sequence.
GAGAUUAAGCCAUCGCGGCAGGUGCUCACGUUAAGCCCACUGACUUUCAUGUCCCUAUCUACUAUCUAGCGAAACCACAGCCAAGGGAACGGGCUUGGAAGAUAAUCUAAUCUGGCAGUGUAAGGAGACAUAAGAGGUGUAGAAUAAGUGGGAGAUAUUAGACUUCGGUUUGGUAUCGACAAUGAAAUACCACUACUCUUAUUGUUUCCUUACUUACUUGAUUAAAUGGAACGUGUAUCAUUUCCUAGCCAUUAUACGGAUAUAAUUAUUAUGUCUUAUGGUAUUGGGUUUUGAUGCAAGCUUCUUGAUCAAAGUAUCACGAGUUUGUUAUAUAAUCGCAAACAAAUUCUUUAAUGAGAGAAUGCAUUUAUGUAUUAUUGAUUUAAAAAUUUGGUAUAACUCCAAUUACUCAGGUAUGAUCCAAUUCAAGGACAUUGCCAGGUAGGGAGUUUGACUGGGGCGGUACAUCUCUCAAAUAAUAACGGAGGUGUCCCAAGGCCAGCUCAGUGCGGACAGAAACCACACAUAGAGCAAAAGGGCAAAUGCUGACUUGAUCUCGGUGUUCAGUACACACAGGGACAGCAAAAGCUUGGCCUAUCGAUCCUUUUGGUUUAAAGAGUCUUUAGCAAGUGGGGUCAGAAAAGUUACCAUAGGGAUAGCCGGGUUCUGGCGGCCAAGGGUUCAUAGCGGCGUCGUUCUUCGAUCCUCAGAUGUAGGGUUUUCCUAUCAGUGCGAAUCAAACUUCCGCUCGUUUGCGCCAGUUCUCCCACCCUUGGCACAUUGAGCUGGGUCAUCCACGUUCAAGACAGAAUAGCUUUAACCUGAAAAUG